CUGGAGGUCCUCAAAAACCUGGAUUCAAUAGAAAACAGGUGGGAAGACAAGACCACUGAAUAUCAGAUUGAAAACUCUGGAAGCAAUGCAGAUCACAUCUCACUCUGGACACCAACACUACAAGCAUGAGGAAUGUGAAGAGAAGCUAUGUGAAUUGAAACAAUAUAG